CCCCCUAUCUGUCAUCCGCCUCCCCUUCUCUCUCAACUGUCAUACACCCUCUUUCUUUCACCUGCCUCCCCUUCUCCAUCUCAUCUCCCUCCACCGAUCUUCAUCAACCUCCAUCGAUCUUCGUCACCAAACCUUCGAUCUUCAUCAACCUCCAUCGAUCACCGUCACCAACCUUUGAUCUUCAUCAACCUCCUUCGAUCUUCUUCAACCUCCAUCGAUCUUCAUCAAUGGCGUAUGUUGGUUUCUUUUUUGUCAUUUUUUUAAUUUUAUUCCGUUUUAAUUUUUGUUUUUUUAUUUCUGUCAAUUUUUUCCUUGGUAUUAACGAAUUACGAUGUUCUUGAGAAGGAGAAGGAUGAGUUCAUUGUUGAUUUCUUUGAGGAGGGUUAUAAUGACAUAGUUGGUGAGGAUUAAAGGGGGUGAGCAACAAUGGGGAUUGGUGAAUUCUAACAUAUGGCGACCCUUCCAAUUCUGAUAUAUUUCAAUUCUGACAUAGAGGAAUAAAGAUGAAAGCAGGCUUAAGGAGGCGCUCAAUCUGUCAAAUGCUUGUGGUGCUCUAUGCACAACCGAAAAGGGUGGCAUCUCUGCACUACCAAGUCUAACUGAAGAACUCGAAUUGAUGAAACUCGGAAACUGGUUGUGUGGCUUUGUAUUUUAUGUUCAUGGACUGUAUAUGCAAAAUCUAUCAAUAAAAACUUGAGUUGAAAACUGA